rnacentral:rRNA from 1 species
GAUGAACGCUGGCGGCGUGCCUAAUACAUGCAAGUCGAGCGAAGCGGGGACGGGUGAGUAACAAGUGGAUAACCUCCUAUACGACGGGGAUAACUUCGGGAAACCGGAGCUAAACCGGAUACUUAUAGAUGGAUCCGCGCUGCAUUAGCUAGUUGGUAAGGUAACGGCUGACCAAGGCAACGUUGCAUAGCCGACCUGAGAGGCGGACGGGCCACACUGGAUAGUAGACACGGCCCAGACCCCGCGGGGAGGCAGAACAGGGGAAUCGUCCGCAAUGGGCGAAAUCCUGGCGGAGCAAUGCCGCGUGAGUGAUGAAGGUCUUCGGAUCGGAAAACUCUGUUAUCAGGUAAACGUUACCGAUUCAGAAUGCCACGGCUAACUUCGGGCCAGCCGCCGCGGUAAUUC